rnacentral:misc_RNA from 1 species
UGAAGACCAAGUAGAUAGUGAUGCAAAUUUGUUUGAUCCAAGUUUGGAUGGUUCAGAUGCCAUGGGAUUCGGUCCUCUUAUCCCAACAGAGAGCGAGAGGUCUUUAAUGGAGAGGGUGAGGCAAGAAUUGAAGCAUGAAUUAAAGCAGGUCAAAGAAUUACCUAUUUAUUGGAUUGACCGAGAAGCAUAUAUCUUGGAAGAUUUUCAAAGAUGUGCUCUACUCUCUCUGUUUUGUAGGGUUACAAAGAGAAAAUUGCUG